UACGUAGGGUGCGAGCGUUGUCCGGAAUUAUUGGGCGUAAAGCGCUUGUAGGCGGUUUGUCGCGUCUGCCGUGAAAAUCCGGGGCUCAACCCCGGACUUGCAGUUGGUACGGGCAGACUAGAGUGUGGUAGGGGAGACUGGAAUUCCUGGUGUAGCGGUGAAAUGCGCAGAUAUCAGGAGGAACACCGGUGGCGAAGGCGGGUCUCUGGGCCGAUACUGACGCUGAGGAGCGAAAGCGUGGGGAGCGAACAGG
rnacentral:rRNA from 1 species